UCCUGCGAAGAAGACAAGAAAGUAUAGAUUAGAUUUGUUAAUAGAGGAGUAUGUUCAAAACACUUUUUAGAAAAGAUAUUGACAGAACUUCACUUUCAUCUGUUCGUUUCCAAUAGCUUAUGUCACACAGAAUCAGCUGAGAGAAGUGGUCUACAAAAACCAGAAAGGAAACGGAAUAUGUGGCUACGAAAAGCAAAAGAAAGGUUUACAAA
rnacentral:lncRNA from 1 species